UUUUCAUUGAGAGUUUGAUCCUGGCUCAGGAUGAACGCUGGCGGCGUGCUUAACACAUGCAAGUCGAACGGACUACUUCGGUAGUUAGUGGCGGACGGGUGAGUAACGCGUGGGUAACCUGCCCUAUACAGAGGAAUAACGUUUGGAAACAAACGCUAAUACCUCAUAAUCCAUAGCAACCGCAUGGUGGCUAUGGCAAAGAUUUAUCGGUAUAGGAUGGACCCGCGUUGGAUUAGCUAGUUGGUGAGAUAAAAGCCCACCAAGGCGACGAUCCAUAGCCGGCCUGAGAGGGUGAACGGCCACACUGGGACUGAGACACGGCCCAGACUCCUACGGGAGGCAGCAGUGGGGAAUAUUGCACAAUGGGCGCAAGCCUGAUGCAGCGACGCCGCGUGAAGGAUGAAGGUUUUCGGAUCGUAAACUUCUAUCAGCAGGGAAGAAAAAAAUGACGGUACCUGACUAAGAAGCCCCGGCUAACUACGUGCCAGCAGCCGCGGUAAUACGUAGGGGGCGAGCGUUAUCCGGAAU
rnacentral:rRNA from 1 species